rnacentral:rRNA from 1 species
UACGAAGUGGGCUAGCGUUGUUCGGAGUUACUGGGCGUAAAGGGCGCGUAGGCGGCCCUCCAAGUCGGGUGUGAAAGCCCACGGCUCAACCGUGGAAUUGCACUCGAGACUGAAGGGCUCGAGGACGGGAGAGGAUGGUGGAAUUCCCGGUGUAGCGGUGAAAUGUGUAGAGAUCGGGAGGAACACCGGUGGCGAAGGCGGUCUUCUGGACGGUGACUGACGCUGAGGCGCGAAAGCGUGGGGAGCAAACGGG